rnacentral:rRNA from 1 species
GAUGCCAGCUAGCGAUCCGCCAAAGUUCCUCCGAUGACUUGGUGGGCAGCUUCCGGGAAACCAAAGCAUUUGGGUUCCGGGGGAAGUAUGGUUGCAAAGCUGAAACUUAAAGGAAUUGACGGAAGGGCACCACCAGGAGUGGAGCCUGCGGCUUAAUUUGACUCAACACGGGAAACCUCACCAGGCCCGGACACCGGAAGGAUUGACAGAUUGAGAGCUCUUUCUUGAUUCGGUGGGUGGUGGUGCAUGGCCGUUCUUAGUUGGUGGAGCGAUUUGUCUGGUUAAUUCCGAUAACGAACGAGACUCUAGCCUACUAAAUAGACGUACUUUAUUACCGGCAUCUCAAGGCCCAUCGGCUGUAUUGUUACUGAAUGUUAUUUGUAUAUUUUGUUUCUUAUAUAUAUUUAUAAUAUGUAUGAUUGAUAAUAUAAAUAUUAUUUUAUUUAAUUCUCCACCGUGUGUAUAUAUGUAUUUUUUAUAUGUAUAUGUGUGUGUGUGGUGGAAUUUGUAUUUUUUAUAUAUG